AUAAAUAUGAUCUUCCUAAAGAUAUUAUGCUGUUAUCCCUAAGGUAAUUUAUCUUUA
rnacentral:tRNA from 1 species